GAUGAACGCUAGCUACAGGCUUAACACAUGCAAGUCGAGGGGUAACGAGAGGAAAGCUUGCUUUCCUUGUCGACGACCGGCGCACGGGUGAGUAACACGUAUGCAACCUACCCAUAACAGGGGGAUAGCUCGAAGAAAUUCGAAUUAAUACUCCAUAAUACAGUGGUUCCUCCUGGGACUAUUUGUUAAAGGAUUAUUCCGGUUAUGGAUGGGCAUGCGUUCCAUUAGGUAGUUGGUGUAGGUAACGGCUCACCAAGCCAUCGAUGGAUAGGGGAACUGAGAGGUUUAUCCCCCACACUGGUACUGAGACACGGACCAGACUCCUACGGGAGGCAGCAGUGAGGAAUAUUGGUCAAUGGUCGGGAGACUGAACCAGCCAAGUCGCGUGAAGGAUGAAGGUAUUAUGUAUUGUAAACUUCUUUUAUAAGGGAAUAAAGUGCUGGACGUGUCCAAUUUUGUAUGUACCUUAUGAAUAAGGAUCGGCUAACUCCGUGCCAGCCGCCGCGGUAA
rnacentral:rRNA from 1 species